CCUACGGGUGGCAGCAGUAGGGAAUAUUGCUCAAUGGGGGAAACCCUGAAGCAGCAACGCCGCGUGGAGGAUGACGGUUUUCGGAUUGUAAACUCCUUUUGUUAGAGAAGAUAAUGACGGUAUCUAACGAAUAAGCACCGGCUAACUCCGUGCCAGCAGCCGCGGUAAUACGGAGGGUGCAAGCGUUACUCGGAAUCACUGGGCGUAAAGCGCGCGUAGGCGGGAUAGCAAGUCAGAUGUGAAAUCCUACGGCUUAACCAUAGAACUGCAGUUGAAACUGUUAUUCUUGAGUAUGGGAGAGGUAGGUGGAAUUCUUGGUGUAGGGGUAAAAUCCGUAGAGAUCAAGAGGAAUACUCAUUGCGAAGGCGACCUGCUAGAACAUAACUGACGCUGAUGCGCGAAAGCGUGGGGAGCAAACAGGAUUAGAUACCCGGGUAGUC
rnacentral:rRNA from 1 species